CACUAUUUACAUGCCUGCCAUCUCAAAUGUUAGAACUACCUCUUGUUCUCAAAUUCUUAACCAUCAACAUUAGAGAGAGAUUUAGAGAGAGAGAGAGGGGGGAGUCCCUUUUUAUCCGGUAUGGAAAUCACGACAUUAAAAGCAGCUUGAAUUGCACCUGUAAUCAAUGAAAAUUUUCAAAUUUUCAAACAUGUUGUUUACUCUCGCAAAACAGUAUUUCAGUUGUUGUAACCGUUUGGACCCUUGCUCCACAAAAAUCUAUUUGAAGCUACGAUUGUUCGGCUUCCUCGAUUUGUUGACUUCGUCAGAACCCACGAAUCACUUGAGCCUACCAAAAAUUUCAAAAUCAUGUCAAAACUAUCCACCUAGAGCUUAUGGAAAGGACACCAUUUUGGGGUUUGUUCAAGAUAUAUAGAGAAGGCAUUGCGACAGAUGAUGCAUGGAAGAACGACUACGAUGUUAUUGAUAUACUACAGACAUAUAAUAAGGAUCUUAAAUGUUUUGUACCUACGUGAUGCUUAAUGUUUUGAUCACUUAGUAUUUUGUUGUGUGACACAAAGGCUAUCGAGCCCAUUUCUUUUGCUGCUGCAUGAUGUCAAAAACAAUGAAUUGGGUAUCGAACUUGAUGUUGUGUGCUUCAUA